CCGGGGGGCCGGGCAGCCGCGCUCUUCGACACGCCCGGAAUGGGUUGGUCGAAGGUCGAGGAAAGUCCGGGCUCCACGAAACGAGGGUGGCGGGUAACGCCCGCCGGGCGAGGGCUUCGGCUCUGGCCAAGGGAAAGUGCCACAGAGAGCAGACCGCCGAAGUCUUCGGACGAGGCAAGGGUGAAAGGGUGCGGUAAGAGCGCACCGCGCUUCCGGCAACGGCAGCGGCAUGGCAAACCCCACCCGGAGCAAGACCGAAUAGGGGCGGCGGGCUUGUCCGCAAGGACAGGCGGGGCGGUUUCGGCCCCCGAUCGCCCGGGUUGGUCGCUGGAGCGGCGCGGUAACGUGUCGCCUAGAGGAAUGGCUGCCGGCACCGCUCCGGGUUCGCAAGAACAGGGGCGGUGUCACAAAACCCGGCUUACAGGCUCCCCGGCAUA
rnacentral:RNase_P_RNA from 1 species